rnacentral:rRNA from 1 species
AUAGUCUGGGAUACCACUUGGAAACAGGUGCUAAUACCGGAUAAGAAAGCGGAUCGCAUGAUCAGCUUUUAAAAGGCGGCGUAAGCUGUCGCUAUGGGAUGGCCCCGCGGUGCAUUAGCUAGUUGGUAAGGUAAAGGCUUACCAAGGCGAUGAUGCAUAGCCGAGUUGAGGGACUGAUCGGCCACAUUGGGACUGAGACACGGCCCAAACUCCUACGGGAGGCAGCAGCU